ACAGAGAAACGCAAUCAGCUCUUUCUGCAUGUGCUGGUCAAAUCCAAACCCAGAGAACAGAAGCGCUUUCGAAGAAUGAACAAACAUGUGAAAUAGGAUGUUUUGUGUAGAUAAAGCAUUCUUGUUACAUACUGGUCAAUUUGUGAUAUGUUUUAACUUAUUGUCUGUGCUUAUUUAUGGAAUUUGGUUUUCUUAAUAAAUGUUUGAGCUAAUAUAAAGCAUAUUAUUUGACUUUUCCGAACAAGUUUAUAUCAAGUUAAAUGUAAAUGGAUAAAAUAAAAUCAUUUUCAGUAUGUGAUAUGGAGAAUGAUGGGUUUUGGUGUGAGUCUGAAUGACAGAAGGGUCUCGUGGGGGUAAGGGAAGAGAACUUUUCAAAGAGGUUCUCGGUUGGUGCCCAGUUGGCGGGAUUCCCGCGUCUGAGACUCGUCUGCCCUUCGGUGGGCCUGGGUUCAGUUCCUAAUUCGCACCGCACCGUGGGCAGGACCCACGGAUACAGCGUCCCCGCCGGCAGGCCUAGCCUGCAGUCCCCGGGUACGCAGGCCGGAAGUGAGAAGCCGCGCGGCGAUCGCCUCACGCGAGCUCGAGGCCUCGCGAGGCUUCAGGUCGACCCCUGCCUCUGAGCCCGAGAUGGGCCUCCGGGCGCAGCUGCCGGCACUUAACACAGAGCAGUCGAUAAGCUGCUCGCGUGAACGGUCUCUACCCGACAAAGCAGCGGACGGGAGCCCUCGUCGUCGGGCUGCGUCUGGAAGGACCACGGUGACGGAAGCGUGGAGAGCUCCGGAGCUCUGCCUUCUGGCGUCUGCCCCAAGUAUCGGUACUGAAUGUCAUACAUGGCGUGCAAGUGAUGGCAUAGUAAUGGUCUUGCACUUAGUUUUCCUUUCUGUUGACGGUGGGAGAAACAGAACAGAGGAAUUUAGCCUGCUAGACGUGACGCUGGACACUGAACAGAAAAUAGCAUGCAGAGCAGUUUGGGUGAAUCAAGGAGAGGAUCUGAUUCUGAGUCAAGUCAGCAUUGUGUUAAAGGGAGUGAAAAGGUAAGCAUAAAACCUCAGUGUUCUGCUGAAGAGGUCCUCCCACUCAUAGUAACCUCUUUGUAAUAGGACUAGGGAAGAGGUUGAGGCUGCAGUAGAAUUAUUUUCCAGAGAGGAAAGGAAGAUUGGAACAUGCAGGUUUAAACUUUCCGUAGACAAAUAUGGCUGUGCAGGGGAAGCCUCAUCCCUGUCCUGAAGUCAUUCGUGCCAUGGGGCUUGUGUAUCAUCAGUGAAGCAUGGUAGUUGAUGGCAGUCCCUGGUGGCUCAGUGGGUAAAGAGUCUGCCUGCGCUUCAGGAGAGCUGAGUUCCAUCCCUGGGUUGGGGAGAUCCCCUGGAGAAGGAAGUGGCAACCCACUCCAGUAUUCUUGCCUNNNNNNNNCCAUGAACAGAGGAGCCUGCUGGGCUACAGUCCAUGGGAUCACAAAGAGUCGGACAUGACAAAGUACAGCUAUACCAUGCAUUUAACUGAAAAGGAGAAGUUAGGAAAAAAACAGGAAACAAAAACCCAAGACAUAGCCUCCUAUAAGAAGCACUCUUUGGAUUUGGAUUGGCUUAUUGGAUUCAGAUAGUGUUAGUGACUUGUAUAAAGUUAGCAGUGCAACUGGACAGCUACUUAGAAGCUAGUGUGGGACAGUGACAGCAUAUUUAUUCAGUUGCCAAGGCAAUACCUUGCCACGGUGUUUACCACCAGGUAGGAGGAGAAACAUGGGCACCCUAGAGCAUUCAGGUGAGCAAAUGUGCAUAGGCUAGGAAGUAUCUCUGGUCAUAACCUCUCUUUAUGUAUGGAUGAAGGCAAAUCAUUAAAGCCCAGGAGAAACCGGUAAGGUAUGUGGAGUUCUAUUGUGAGCCUCCAACUUUCUUCCCUCCUGUGAAUUUUGAGAGCCCGGACUUUCAAAUCCUUUUCCUCAUUCAAAAUAGGAAAUUAGCUGGUAGUAUUUACAUUUUUACUGACCAGAUUUAAGGCAGUGUGCUAACUCAUUCCUUUAAAACUCCUUUGUUGUCGAAAGAAUGUCUUUAUCUUAAUCUAUCUGAAAAACUUAAACAUAAGGAAACAGCUGGGAAUGAUGUUGGAGAUCAUUUGCCCAGGGCAGUUCUACAAUUUAAGGAAGUUAUGCUACACCUGAGACGGCCCCCAGACAAAUCUCCUGUAGUUGUUUGGGGCUGCUCCAGGAGUUGGAGAGAAAAGGAGUACAGGAAAACUUUCUUCAUUUGGGAGGUGGGAACACAGGUAUUUUUAAACUUUUUCUUCAAAUGGCAUAUAUACUUUUGUUUGUUGGACAUAUUUCCCAAUAAGAACACAACAGCAAAAGUACCAGUUGUAAUUUUUUCGCUCCCUUGGUAUCCCAUCUUCAGAUACUAGCUUUUUUAGAAUUACCAAGAUUUUACAGGUUGCUUUAGAGAUUGACUGCCUCAGAGCUUCUAAGCACAUAGAGACACCUUCUGUAUUGUUGGCUUCUCCUUGGUGAAACCCAAGAGCUGGGCUGCAGAGUCACUUCAGCUGUUUAUCUGCCUCCUGUCUUUAAAGAAACAGUGGAAACAGUGACAGACUUUAUUUUUUUGGGCUCCAAAAUCA
ensembl:lncRNA